CAGCGACGUCCGCCCGUGCAAGCCCCUUCAAUCGUUGGCCCAAGGGCGACUUAGCCUUGGCCGUGUGCGGGUUUCCUGUGUUGCGUACCUACCGAACGGAAUUCGUGCGUCGUAUCGUUUGUCCUUCGCCUCGUGUUGUGCCCCUUGCGGGGCGCGGCGUCGGGUGAACCACGAAGCGAUACUCGCGUUUCUCGUCGGCCACGAAACGUGCCGUCGACGCGGCCCGUGAGUUAUUGCUUGGGCUCUCGGAUGCGGAACACUCGAACGGCAGGAGGUCGUCGACCUCCCUUUGCCCGAAUGAAGCGUUUAUUCGCUCGUUACCGAACGACUGCUGUCGUUGCCUCGGGGCGUCGUACCCUUCGGGUGCGGACGUGCCCGUGCUGCGCCGGCGUC
rnacentral:misc_RNA from 1 species